ACUUUCUCACUCUGAAACCAUCUAAUGAUGCCAAGAAAUCUAGAAGCCCAAGCCAGUUCCUAUAGCCUUUGUAGACAACUAACCACGAGCGCACUUCUCUGACCAUGCAAGUUCAGAAAUUCCAAAACCACUUUUGCAACUAUGCUUUUUAUAAAGAGUAUUCUAAUAUAAUAAUGUGAUGAUGUUACAAGAAAGAGAGACAAACAAGCAAAGCAGUUGCUAAUCCAUGCAAAGUGGCUCAAACAAAAAGUCCAUUAUUUGUCUUUGAAGUCCCUUUUACUAUAGCUGAGCCUCUAAGCUUGUCAGCCUAGAGUUAGCUUCCCUCCUUGUAUAAGUAGAAAAACACUCAACACCAUUGCAUACUGUAAUCUCUCGUCAAUCAUGACCAUGAAGUGGCCAAGGACAUCGAAUCAUGCACCACAUGUAUUUAAUUCAUAAAAAACCUCAUGAGC
rnacentral:lncRNA from 1 species